UACGUAGGUGGCAAGCGUUGUCCGGAUUUACUGGGCGUAAAGAGCGCGCAGGCGGUCGUUCAAGUCGCGUGUGAAAGCCCCCGGCUCAACUGGGGAGGGUCACGCGAUACUGAUCGACUGGAAGGCAGGGGAGGGUAGUGGAAUUCCCGGUGUAGUGGUGAAAUGCGUAGAUAUCGGGAGGAACACCAGUGGCGAAGGCGACUACCUGGCCUGUUCUUGACGCUGAGGCGCGAAAGCUAGGGGAGCAAACGGG
rnacentral:rRNA from 1 species